rnacentral:tRNA from 1 species
GAGGCUAGUCUAACAAGAUAGCUAAUUUCGACUUAGCAGAUUAUGGUGUAACCCCAUAGCCCCCU